rnacentral:lncRNA from 10 species
GUGGUGGCAUUCGCGUCUGCGAGCUCCGGAGUGACUUUCCCUUCCUGUGAAGGCAAUCCGGCCCUUUCCGGUGGAGGACCCUUCCCCCUGGGUUGAUCUUGAGGAACUUAAGAGACGGUGUUUUGACUCGACUCCUUUCCCCUUUUUCCUCCCGGUACCAAAGCGGUUUUGUUUGCUGUUUAUACUCUACCCCGUGGAAAGGCGGCUAGCUGGCUAAAGGGUUUUAUGCCUGGGGGAGGAUGAGUCGCUAUUUGGUCGUGACUUGUUUCUGUUUAAAAUUAUUAUUAUUUACCAAAUGAAAAUGUUGUACUUACCAGUCCAAAGUGCGGGGCUUAUAUUGUUAGAAGACCACUUAAAAUGCUCCUGGAUUCUGACAAAUAUUGCAUGAGAAAUUUGCAAUCAGCCGUGAAGCAUGUUUCCCCUUCUGAAAGUUUAACACGUGCCGUAUCUACGGCUGGGAUCUAACACAUCCCAUUCCUACAGGGUAAUUUCCUAUUGUGUUUUCAAAUACUACUAAAGUACUUUAACC